rnacentral:rRNA from 1 species
UCGGGAAUAUUGCGCAAUGGAGGAAACUCUGACGCAGUGACGCCGCGUGCAGGAAGAAGGUUUUCGGAUUGUAAACUGCUUUAGACAGGGAAGAAAAAAUGACAGUACCUGUAGAAUAAGCUCCGGCUAACUACGUGCCAGCAGCCGCGGUAAUACGUAGGGAGCAAGCGUUAUCCGGAUUUAUUGGGUGUAAAGGGUGCGUAGACGGGAAGACAAGUUAGUUGUGAAAUCCCUCGGCUUAACUGAGGAACUGCAACUAAAACUAUCAUUCUUGAGUGCUGGAGAGGAAAGUGGAAUUCCUAGUGUAGCGGUGAAAUGCGUAGAUAUUAGGAGGAACACCAGUGGCGAGGCGACUUUCUGGACAGUAACUGACGUUGAGGCACGAAAGUGUGGGGAGCAAACAGGAUUAGAUACCC